rnacentral:rRNA from 1 species
AUUGAACGCUGGCGGCAUGCCUUACACAUGCAAGUCGAACGGCAGCGGACCUUCGGGUGCCGGCGAGUGGCGAACGGGUGAGUAAUGCAUCGGAACGUGCCAUUGAGUGGGGAUAACGUAGCGAAAGUUACGCUAAUACCGCAUAUUCUGUGAGCAGGAAAGCAGGGGACCGCAAGGCCUUGCGCUCUUUGAGCGGCCGAUGUCAGAUUAGCUAGUUGGUGAGGUAAAGGCUUACCAAGGCGACGAUCUGUAGCGGGUCUGAGAGGAUGAUCCACCACACUGGAACUGAGACACGGCCCAGACUCCUACGGGAGGCAGCAGUGGGGAAUUUUGGACAAUGGGCGCAAGCCUGAUCCAGCCAUGCCGCGUGCGGGAAGAAGGGCCUUCGGGUUGUAAACCGCUUUGUCAGGAAGAAACGACUCCGGGCUAAUACCUUGGGGUAAUGACGGUACCUGAAGAAUAAGCACCGGCUAACUACGUAGCCAGCAGCCGCGGUAAU